UACGGAGGGGGCGAGCGUUAUUCGGAAUUAUUGGGCGUAAAGAGCGUGUAGGCGGCUUGUUAAGUCUUGCGUGAAAUCUCGGGGCUCAACCCCGAGCGGUCGUGAGAAACUGGCAGGCUAGAGUGCGGGAGAGGAGAGUGGAAUUCCUGGUGUAGCGGUGAAAUGCGCAGAUAUCAGGAAGAACACCCGUGGCGAAGGCGGCUCUCUGGAACGCAACUGACGCUGAGACGCGAAAGCGUGGGGAGCAAACAGG
rnacentral:rRNA from 1 species